CCCAGGGUUCCCCGUUUGGCUUCCCUUCCAUCUAAAGUCCUCCCCCAAGUUUCGGGCCAAAAAGCUGAAAUAAAGAACGAAGUCAAUAAUAAUAUGAAGUGUAUGAGAAAUAGCUGGAAAAUUCAUCAUCCAUGACUUGAAGAAAUUGACGUUUUACAAGUUAUAUUUUCGGUGAAGAGGCACUUUCAAGAUCCUUCUCUGAGACCUGCACCAAUAAGACUAUACCAAUGUUCAGUUGAAACAUCAGACACUGUUCUGGUUAUGAUGGACACCACAAUGAAAGAGACCUGGUCCCUGUCUUGAGGAAAUCCAACUGCUGGUAGAGAGCUCAGAGUAAUGAUUAGGAUGCAAUAUGAGGGAUGCAGUAAUUGGGAUCUACUUCUGGGAACCGUCACAGCCUGAGAAAGAUGGCAUGCCCUGAAUGGAAUUCACAGAGAAUUAUUUUAAGUAAAAGAAGUUUAAAGUUA
rnacentral:lncRNA from 1 species